rnacentral:rRNA from 1 species
UGGGGAGCAAAUAGGAUUAGAUACCCUAGUAGUCCACGCCGUAAACGAUGAGUACUAAGUGUUGGAUGUCAAAGUUCAGUGCUGCAGUUAACGCAAUAAGUACUCCGCCUGAGUAGUACGUUCGCAAGAAUGAAACUCAAAGGAAUUGACGGGGGCCCGCACAAGCGGUGGAGCAUGUGGUUUAAUUCGAAGCAACGCGAAGAACCUUACCAGGUCUUGACAUCCCUCUGACCGCUCUAGAGAUAGAGCUUUCCUUCGGGACAGAGGUGACAGGUGGUGCAUGGUUGUCGUCAGCUCGUGUCGUGAGAUGUUGGGUUAAGUCCCGCAACGAGCGCAACCCUUAUCGUUAGUUACCAUCAUUAAGUUGGGGACUCUAGCGAGACUGCCAGUGACAAGCUGGAGGAAGGCGGGGAUGACGUCAAAUCAUCAUGCCCCUUAUGACCUGGGCUACACACGUGCUACAAUGGAUGGUGCAGAGGGAAGCGAAGCCGCGAGGUGAAGCAAAACCCAUAAAACCAUUCUCAGUUCGGAUUGUAGUCUGCAACUCGACUACAUGAAGUUGGAAUCGCUAGUAAUCGCGAAUCAGCAUGUCGCGGUGAAUACGUUCUCGGGCCUUGUACACACCGCCCGUCACACCACGAGAGUUGAUAACACCCGAAGCCGGUGGCCUAACCGCAAGGAAGGAGCUGUCUAAGGUGGGAUUGAUGAUUGGGGUGAAGUCGUAACAAGGUAUCCCUACGGGAACGUGGGGAUG